rnacentral:rRNA from 1 species
AGUGAACGCUGGCGGUAGGCCUAACACAUGCAAGUCGAACGGCAGCACAGUAAGAGCUUGCUCUUACGGGUGGCGAGUGGCGGACGGGUGAGGAAUACAUCGGAAUCUACUUUUUCGUGGGGGAUAACGUAGGGAAACUUACGCUAAUACCGCAUACGACCUACGGGUGAAAGCAGGGGAUCUUCGGACCUUGCGCGAUUGAAUGAGCCGAUGUCGGAUUAGCUAGUUGGCGGGGUAAAGGCCCACCAAGGCGACGAUCCGUAGCUGGUCUGAGAGGAUGGUCAGCCACACUGGAACUGAGACACGGUCCAGACUCCUACGGGAGGCAGCAGUGGGGAAUAUUGGACAAUGGGCGCAAGCCUGAUCCAGCCAUACAGCGUGGGUGAAGAAGGCCUUCGGGUUGUAAAGCCCUUUUGUUGGGAAAGAAAAGCAGCAGGUUAAUACCCCGCUGUUCUGACGGUACCCAAAGAAUAAGCACCGGCUAACUUCGUG